GGGCGCUUAGCUCAGUUGGCUAGAGCCACCGGCUCAUAACCGGUCGGUCGUAGGUUCGAGUCCUACAGCGCCCA
rnacentral:tRNA from 1 species